GGAGAUCUGGUCUAGUGGUAGGGCACAGGCACCUCUGAUGUCCUGGAUGUCAGUUCGAGUCUGACGGUUUCCA
rnacentral:tRNA from 1 species